rnacentral:lncRNA from 11 species
CUUGCAGCUAUUUUUAACCCGGCUGUCACAGGGCUCUCCCCACCGACUCUCAGAAUGUGGCUCUAAAUGCAGAGCUUCCCAGGUGCAAUGGCUGGAAACCUCAGGUCAAAAAGGUCGUGGGGUGGGGACGGUGGGAAAACCAACCCCACUGCCCCUUCCCCUGCAGCAGUGAGUUACGCGUGGGCUGAGCCAGUAGGAGAGAGCAGUGACUCGGAAGGGAUCACUGACAGACUCUCCCCGGAAUUGCCAGAGCCUGUAAACAAGAACUUCUGCAUGACACGCAUGUGCUCUACUUCUAAGCUGAUGGUCAUCUCCUUGAGCAAAGGGCACAUAAAAUAUGCUGUACCCAAACUUUGGCCCCUUCGACGCUGCACUAUAUCCCAGGAUCUGAUCCCAGAUCAUCUGCUUUGAACUGGAUAAGUCUACACCGCCAGAUAAUCCAAGUCAGAUCAUCUGAGGUCAGAAACAGUGUAGAUCCAGCCAAUGUUUCUGAUUAAGAGAGCCACCAUUAGUGGUUUGAGUAAUGGACUACAACACUGGGUUCAAGUAACAACAGCAUUGGCUGCCUCCUGGUUCUUGUUGAACUCAGGUAUUAUUGGAAAUUUCAGCUAGUUCAAAGAGUCCUCAAGGGAGCUAGCUACAAGGACCGAACAACUCCCUGACUAAAACAGCUCCACUGGCUGCCGAUUAGCUGCCGGGCCCAAUUCAAGGUGCAAGUUAUGGCCUAUAAAGCCCUAAACGGUUUGGGCCCCACCGAUCUUCACGAUCGCAACUCCCCCGAUGCCCCAGUGCGGUCCCUUAGAUCCUCCGGUGAGGUGCUCCUCUCGAUCCCACUGCCGUCCCAAGUAUGGCUGGUGGGGACGAGAGAGAGAGAGAGAGGGCCUUUUCGGCGGUGGCCCCCCGCCUCUGGAACACCCUACCCAAAGAGAUAAGGUUAGCUCCAUCAAGAACAUCUUUUCGUAGGGACUUGAAAACUUGGUGGUUCCAAUGGGUUUUUGGAAAUGACUAAUCUGAACCUUAGACACUAUUUGGGGUCUAGAUUAGUUUUGGAAGCGAUCAUCUUGUAAUCCCUAGACGCCUCUCUGGCCAGUACAAGACUUCUGUCCUGCACCUUUCCUGCUCCUUGAUCUUGUUAUGGUGUUUGUUUUCCAGUUCUAUCUGAUAGCUAUAUAGUAGGCUGAAGUGGUGCAACCCUGGCCUAGGUUCCUUUGCUAUCAGCCACACUUCACCCCUGGCUUAUGCCUAUUUUUAUUAGGUUAGUUUUACCCUGGCCCAUAUUGCCAUCUUGUUCACUUUAUAUAUUAUACCCAUUGGCUCUAGAAUCACCCAAGGGUGCGGUUGAAAUUGUUUUUAUUUAUUGGUUUAAUUGUUUUUAAAUGUUUGGAAUUUUAAACAUGGUUGUUAAUUAUUAUACUGGUUUUUGUAUCUUGUAUGAUGUAUAUGUAUUGAAUGUUUCAUUAUGUGUACACUGCUUUGAGUCCCACACGGGAGAUACAGCGGUAUAUAAAGUUUUGUUGUUGUUGUUGUUGUUGUAUUGGCAAUAUAUGAAUGACCUAACGAUAAGAUACAUUUCCAAGAAGAUACAUCUUGCCUCUAAUGCUUAUGGAAGCAAGUCUGUUUAUGUGUGCCUUCCUCAUGAGUAGAAUCCUAUAUAACAUAUGGCUACUCCUUAGCCGAGCAGAGCAGAGAGAGGCCUCCAUAAAGAGAAGUGAUUAUUAUAGAACUGCACCUGACAAGUUCUGCCGUGUAAUUAAAUCCGCUGUUUUUUUAGAGCGGCUGCAUUUGAACUGGUUUCAGAAAUUGCAGGAUGAGUGUCUCGCACUCCCUGCCUAGCAUGUCUUUGAACAACCAAAAGUACA